UGGCGUCCGGCAAUCUCUCCAGCGGACACGCGGCGUGGGGGCCUGUAAAUAGCCUCGGUUUGGGGUGGAACCUAAGGCGGGCAUUAGGGAUACACAGGUAGCCCAUUGGUCCUAGGUUUGGCACCAUAUGUAAAUUCCCAGGGGCGGGAAGAUGGCGUCACAGGUAACUUCCUAGGGGCAGGGCAAGAUGGGGCUUCCUGCUUCCAGUUGUGGCUUUCCUGGCUACAGUGUCCUGUCUGGGCCAAACCUUUCAUUCUUGUCAUUUCCAAUAAAACUCUCCUGCUUCUUCCUUUAGUUCCUGGCUUUGUUCCUUGAUUUUGUGAGGCUCCAAACUUCGUACUUCUGAUGUCUUAACAGGUCAGAGUUGUGUUUCCUCUAAAUCGUCAGCACAGCCCAAAGCAAGGGCCAAGAAACCAUGGACUGAAACCUGUGAAGAGGUGAGCCGAUGUAAACCCUUCCUCCUUUAAGACGACUGCAUCAGCUAUUUUGUCACAGGAACAGAAAGCUGAGUAGCACACACAUUGGGAAGGAAAUUGUCCGAAAACAUUAUCCAAGACCAGUUCCUUCUUACUGAGGAAUUAUAGGGUCCAAACUUGCAGACGGGCUGUCACCACAUGGCUCAGACUGGUCUUGAACUCACUAUGCACCUCAGGCUGGUGUUGAACUCCCAAGAGUGUGCCUGCCUCAGCCUCCUGAGUGCUGGAAUCAGGGGAAGAUGAAAAAAGUGGACAGUAAGAAUGCAUUGAUCUCAGCGGGGCAUGGUAAUCCACUCCUGCAAUCCCAGCACUGCAGGGAGGCUGAGGCAGGAGGAUCAAGACUUGGUGGGCAGCUUGGGUCACAUAAUGAGACCUUGUCUUUAAAAAUAAAUUAACAAAAACAAAACCAAGCAAGAAACAAAAAGCAACUCGAUCUGUUUCUCCUUUCCAGUGUUUAUUCAGGCCCUUUGCUUUUAUAUUUUCUUGUUUUGUUUAUGACUGGCUGGGAAAUGGAGUACUGACCAUCAUUAUAGGUGGGAGAGCUGUCUCAUUCUUGAUGUAGAUUCUUCAGUGAAUAUCAUACUGGUUGUUUAUUUGAAAUAAAUAAACUUUAGCAUAAGCAAGUACCUUUUUAUUCCCAGUUUCCAAGAAUUCUGUUACCAAUAAAUACUGAUUUG